UACAGAGGGUGCGAGCGUUAAUCGGAAUUACUGGGCGUAAAGCGCGCGUAGGCGGCUUUGCAAGUCGAUUGUGAAAUCCCCAGGCUUAACCUGGGAACUGCAUUCGAGACUGCAUAGCUAGAGUAUGGGAGAGGGAAGUGGAAUUUCAGGUGUAGCGGUGAAAUGCGUAGAUAUCUGAAGGAACACCGGUGGCGAAGGCGGCAUCCUGGACCGGCAUUGACGCUGAGGAGCGAAAGCCAGGGGAGCAAACGGG
rnacentral:rRNA from 1 species